AUUCUUACAGAAAAAAUGAGGAUUAAAAAAAAAAACACAGUAAAGGGAGUACUCCUCAUGAUACACCGACACUUCUGGAACUGAGGUAUACCAGGAGGAUCUCCAAACCUCCAUUGUUUCUCAUCUCUUGAUUCACCUUCAUCAUAUCUGUGGAUCUGAACCAUAGAGGUCCUCCUCCUGACUUGAAGCUGGUCAGUUGCAUCCUUUUUGACGUUUUAAAUUCUGACCUUAGACUCAAAUGUGAAAGUUCUGUUCCCAAAGAAGAAGAAUGUGAAACUUCAGUUCUGAAGAAGGAUGAAGAAGAAGAAGAAGAAGAAGAAGAAGAAGAAGAAGAAGAAGAAGAAGAAGAAGAAGAAGAAGAAGAAGAAGAAGAAGAAGAAGAAAGAAGAAGAAGAAGAAGAAAGAGGAAGGGGAAGGGAAAGAGG
rnacentral:lncRNA from 1 species